GUCUUUGCUCACUCUGCAGGGUUUCUGCUCUUGUGGGAUUUUCAGGCUGUACUCUGUUGACUUUCUUCCUGAAUGUGUUCAGUGGUUUUCAGGUAAAGGACAUGUCCACAGCUUCUCCUCAGUAGACUGCAUUUGAUCAUGGAGCAGCAGCCAUGGCCAAGUAGAGAGGGUAGAGAGGAACAACGAGAAGGCAGAACCAGAGGGGUUUCUCUUGACAAUGGCAAGGAGACCGGGCAAUGGCUCUUGGAAAGCAUUACAUUAGCAGCUGGAAGGUUCAACUGGAAAACCCUCUGGAUACCUGGGAGUGUUGUGAUGAAGUGUCAGAUAGAAGGAAUCAAGCCUGAUUUGCUGAACAACCCUUGCUGGUGUAAGUUAAGUGAAAAAGAUACUUUUCAAUUUAUGCUUAGUACAUUUGACCUCAAAGUCAAUGAAUGAUACAAAAUACUUACUUGUUACAUUCUUUUUCCAGAGAAUUACUAUUUGCAGUAUUAGUCAACUAGUGUCCUUCGUGAAUCUGCUUCAAACUGAAGUUUUGUAGAACAGAGAAAAACUUCCACAUUUGAGAUGUAACAAAAGCAAAUUCACACUCAUUCCAUGCAGAAAUCUCUAUCAUCCUAAACAAGCUAAUAUGUCAAUGCUUGGAAGAUAUGUUUCUUUGGCAGCAUAUUAUACAUGGAAAUUAUUUCUAUUAUAUUUUUCCUAUGUGUAUCUGAAAACAAAACUAUAUACCGUAUCAUAUUGUGUAUAUAUAUAUUUAUAAAUAUAUAUAAGCCUUCUAGAGAUUAUAUUCAUUUCAUACAUCAAAUUCAGGCUAAGAAAAAUGUCAAACUUUGUUUACUAAUUUCAUACUUGUAUUUUCUUUUAAUAUCCUGUUUUGGUUCUCUAGUUAUAACAUAGAUGCACCUAAAGUUCGCUAGAAACAUUUGCCAUUAGCUUCUUCUAAAAAAAAAUUAAAUUUGAGGAUAAUCCUACCUCCAGAGCUUAUUCUGUUCCUGGCCAUUGACUGUGACAGUGAAAGGCUCAUCUGAAAGCAGUGGAGCAUCCCAUCUAAAAGCAUAAAACAUAUUACAUUUCAUGAAAAAGCUAAUUCAGAUUGUUUAAUUCUGGUAAUAUUGCCUCUGUCACCUUCAAAAUCAAAAUGUUCUUUCCUGUUAUUAUAAAGAAAACAACCAAAUUGCUUAAAAACCCAUUUGAAUACACAGCUGCCUUAUGUUGCAUACUAAUUUGAUUAAAAAUGCUUGUGCCUCACCAGCAUUUUUUGCAUAAAACACACUAGUGAAUUUAACAAAGAAAUACAAAUAUAUUUUGGCAAUUUUUGAUGACAGAGUGUGCUAUAGUGUCCACAACACCCCUGGACCGAACAAAGACCUCAACACAGCAUUGGGAGAUGUUAAACUGAAUGUCUUGCUGUAUUUGUUUGCUCAAUGCUUUGGGCACUGUGCCAACCUCAUUGCAAAUAACUGCAUUAGUCAAGUGUAUCCAAAUUAUUACAACGCAGCGUCCAUCCCAGUUAUUGCUGUUGAAGCAUUUUCUGAAUCUUCACAUCACUACAAGCAUUUAUUUGAGGGGCAGGAUUUGUGUAAAUUCAGGACUACUUUGGUUUUAGACAGAAAAUCUUAACGUCUUUACAAGUUGCUUGUUAUUCCUAGAAAGAGUAAUUAAGCAGUAAUUGCACUACUUUUAUUUACAUAUUUUGAACACCUUGCCUAAAAAGAGGAACUGCUGUGAAAAUAGAAUGAAGGGAAGAGGAGAGAAGCCAGAGAAUUCAUUGUAUUUAUC
rnacentral:lncRNA from 13 species